rnacentral:rRNA from 1 species
ACGGUGUGGUUCAUGACUGGGGUGAAGUCGUAACAAGGUAGCCGUAGGGGAACCUGCGGCUGGAUCACCUCCUUAAA